AUACAAUGGAGAGUUUGAUCCUGGCUCAGGAUGAACGCUAGCGGGAGGCCUAACACAUGCAAGCCGAGCGGUAUUUAUUCUUCGGAAUAGAGAGAGCGGCGUACGGGUGCGGAACACGUGU
rnacentral:rRNA from 1 species